rnacentral:lncRNA from 1 species
CACUCCACGCAUCUCACUCCACACAUCUCACUCCACACAUCUCACUCCACACAUCACCUCACUCCACGCAUCUCACUCCACACAUCAUACUCCACACAUCUCACUCCACACAUCACCUCACUCCACGCAUCUCACUCCACACAUCUCCUCACUCCACGCAUCUCACUCCACACAUCUCACUCCACACAUCUCACUCCACACAUCUCCUCAUUCCACACAUCUCACUCCACACAUCACCUCACUCCACGCAUCUCACUCCACACAUCUCCUCACUCCACACAUCUCACUCCACACAUCUCCUCACUCCACACAUCUCACUCCACACAUCUCCUCACUCCACACAUCUCCUCACUCCACACAUCUCACUCCACACAUCUCCUCACUCCACACAUCUCCUCACUCCACACAUCUGACUCCACACAUCUCACUCCACGCAUCUCCUCACUCCACGCAUCUCACUCCACACAUCUCCUCACUCCACACAUCUCACUCCAGACAUCUCCUCACUCCACACAUCUCCUCACUCCACACAUCUCCUCUCUCCACGCAUCUCACUCCACACAUCUCCUCUCUCCACACAUCUCACUCCACACAUCUCCUCACUCCACAGAAAUCCUCACUGUACGCAUCUCCUUAUCCCACGCCUCCCCUCGUCCCACGUCCCGUGGUCACACUCAUGUCCUCACUGCACACCUCCUGCUGCCUUCUGCAAGGUUCGACUGCUGACUUUGCUUCCCACAGCAUUUCCACUGCUUGACACAGGUGAAUGGCUCCGACCCCAUUUCUGACAGAGGGACACAAGCAGGUCAGUUGUCAGCCUUGCUCUAUGUGAAUUCAUCGUUGACUGAUGGACAGUUUUAUUCUCUCACCAGCACUACUUAGAAAGUGAGGUUCUGGGUUUGGUUCCUUUUCUG